CUUUACUGUUUAAAACUUCUUUUUGUUCAAAUGAUACAAAAACUGAAGUUCUGGGUAAUUACCUAAAGCUAAAAGGCUUCAAAUUUUGCUAUUUCAUCACAAAUUAUUCUAAGCAGUACAUUAUUGAGAUAAAUCAAGCACUUCACCGAAGCAGUAUCAGAAGUGCAAUUGUUAAAAAUAUCAAACAUUGGAAACAAAUAUUCACGAUAAUAAACACAACACUGCAUACAUAUUUACUGAUGCUGAUUUAACUCCCGCAAAAAAUUGUUUUACAAAUUUGACUCAGGGCUACAUUUUGCUAUUGACCAAAGAUGUACAGCACCUUCAAAAAUCAUCAGAAAUACUUAAAGGUUGUGAUUUUGGGAUCAACUCAAAAUUAGUUAUUAUUAAAAAAAGUGAGGCAAGUUACAAUUUUUUUAAUUAUUAUCGAAAGGCUGGGUCCGGGUUUAAAACAAGUUUAAACGGUGUGUCGUUUUAUAAAGAAAGAUAUAAUUUGACUGGAUUUGUAGUGCGAGCCGUUAGCACAAAAAGCAUUGACUACAAAUACAAUGCCAAGACAGAACGAGAGGUCGCAGUGAGUCAAUUUCACUAUGGUUUAUUUGCGUUACUUCAAGAAAUUCAUAAUUUUGCGUAAGCAUACAGGGUGUCCGUUUUUCGAGCCCCACCAAAAUAUCUUAAUAAUUAUAAGAGAUUCGAGGUCGGUUUAGUUAGGGCAAAGUUGUGCAUUUUUAUGCUGAACAAUUAUCUAAAACAAAAUUUGAUGUAGAAUUUUGAGUUUUUGAAUUAUUAAGAAAAAUCAAUUUCUUUUAAUUUUCCCUGUUAUUUUUUAAGGGAAAAUCUAAAAGAACUAGACGUUUUUAAGUAGGACAUUCCUCAGGCACUUUUUUACAAGAAAUCCAUGUCUGUCAUUGCCUUUUCCAAGGCGUUUUUGAUGUCAGAGUUACAACACUCAACUUUGAUUUUUCUUAUAGACGCCAUAUUUGACAUUUGUAUUUUUGAAGUCUUUUUCUUCCCGAUUACAAUGAUGUAUCACAUGACAUGAUCGAAUCUUAACAUGCUGAUUAAAGUUU